rnacentral:rRNA from 1 species
AUUGAACGCUGGCGGCAUGCCUUACACAUGCAAGUCGAACGGCAGCACGGGAGCAAUCCUGGUGGCGAGUGGCGAACGGGUGAGUAAUAUAUCGGAACGUGCCCAGUCGUGGGGGAUAACGUAGCGAAAGCUACGCUAAUACCGCAUACGAUCUAUGGAUGAAAGCGGGGGAUCGCAAGACCUCGCGCGAUUGGAGCGGCCGAUAUCAGAUUAGGUAGUUGGUGAGGUAAAGGCUCACCAAGCCGACGAUCUGUAGCUGGUCUGAGAGGACGACCAGCCACACUGGGACUGAGACACGGCCCAGACUCCUACGGAGGCAGCAGUGGGGAAUUUUUGGACAAUGGGCGCAAGCCUGAUCCAGCAAUGCCGCGUGCAGGAUGAAGGCCUUCGGUUGG